rnacentral:lncRNA from 1 species
UUUUUAUUAGCAUAGAAAAUAACAAAGAAUAAAAACGACAACAAAUACAAUAUAGGGCCUAUAUAUAUGUAUAUGUAUAAAUGCUAAUAAACAUUGCAAUAUCACAUUAUUUAAAAUAAAAAAUAAAUAUCAGAAUGAUAAGAAUAAAAUAGUGAAAUUGCAAAAUAUGAUUUAUUUACGUAUUAUUUUACGCACAUAAUUGUUUUAUUCAGUGAAUGAAGUAUUGUGUGGAAAGAUCGAAUGUAAUGCGUACUGUAUAUCGCAAGAUUCCUCCAUUACGCACAGUUUGCCUUGUAAUUUGCAAACAUAAUCGACCAAUUCUAACUUGCACUGUCCUGCAAGGAUAUUCGGAGAAGCUGCCAUUCUUUCACAUUAGGCAAACGAGCCUGUGCUACAUCAGCCAUGUGAUCAUCUACUAUUUAUGUUAAUGAAUUUCAUUUUAGGUAUUUGCUUCCAAAAUGCUUGAUUUAAAUAAUGUUCUAAUGUUGACUAAAGAAGUAACGGUGAUAUAUUGAAACUCUUUUAUUAUAAAACCGUAUUCUGUGUAUUUGCGACGGGAAAAAAAUGCAUUAAGAACUUUCACAGUGAAAGCUUAUAAUAUUUCAAAUAUGAAUAUUUUAUGACAUGUAAUUUGAUACAUAAUAAAUUGAAAUAGUUAUAAACAUUUUUAGUGGGUUCAGCAAGUCUAACCAAAAUAAC